ACCCAGGAUUUCAGGGCCCCCGGGUCGCUUCCGGCGGGGUUUUGUGGCGCGUCUCCGCCUGUCGGAGGCGAUUGCCCCUCCUGAACUGAAGCCCUCAGGGUGUGGCCGCCCUGCCGGCACCUGGCUCGGGGUAAGUCACGUCAUCGCACGUCACUGAAUAGCGUCAUCGAUCGCGUCACUGCGUAUGGGGAAGAGCCGGAGCGCCUGUUGGGGAAAUACCUAAGCUGGUUCGUUGAUGGACAGUCGGCUAGGUGCGAGAAAGUUCUACAAGGAGGAAGAGUGAGCCAAGUGAGUCAUUAACAACAUUAAGGUGCGAUGAAAGCCAGGCCUGGAAUCCCAUGACUCAGUUUCCUCGAGCUGUCAGUGUGAAAAAUAAUACCCGACCUGCCUGCACUAGACAGCUGUGGAUUUAAGACGAAAUACUGCGUGCGAGGCUGCUGGGAACCUGGUCGCCUUCGAACUUUUAAGACCGUGGCAGAAGGCCGACUAUAACUACUCACCAUUCCGCCUUCCAGGACUACCAAAUGUAAAGUAUAAAACUGGACUUCAUCUUUCCCGUAAGAAGAAACCGUAGAGCAAGGAAAGCAGGGGCUGUGGGCUUCCAAGCCGUAGAAAUCGGGGUGCAAGUCUGAGAGCCUGGCUGAAGCUAGAGAGUCGUCUCCCUUGAAACUUAGAAUAAUGUUCCCUACACUGACACACACACCCCGCCCCCAUCUCCAUAACCUGCUAACACGUUCUGUAACAUCACAGAAGGGAGUUUGCAGAUAUGGUUCAGGUAAGGACAUGACAUACCCUGAAUUGGCCUGCUGGGCUGGGGACAAGAGCAGAGUUGGAAAAGGGCAUAUGAGAGAAGCAGAGGUCACAGAGAUUUGAAGACAUCACCCCGUUGGCCUUAAAAAUUGAUCCAAAGGAGUGCAGGCAGCCUAUAGAAGCUGGAAAGGGCAAGCAACUGGAUUCUUGAAUUAAGGACGUUUGACUUCUAGAACACUAACAUGAAUUCUUGUUAAAGCACUCAGUUUGUACUAACUUGUUACAACAGCCAUAAGAAACCAGCGCAGUCAACAAUAAAGACGACAGUUUCCUGGUGUGUUCUCCUUCAUGUAGAAAGAAAAAGCAGAGUUUAUCAGGCUGCUUCACUGUGACUAUGGUCUCAUGGAGGGGCCCUCCACAUUUAGAGGAAAACAUCAAACAGCCAAAUUACACAGGUCUGUGACUGAUGAGAGAAGUUGAGGUUUGGAGGAAGUUAAGCCCUCAGACAUGGAUGAGACCAAUCAAGGCAAAAAUAUAACCUCAACUUUUAUGUUAGACUCAGUUGCUUAUAACAACAGCAUCCUUAAAAAUCCAACUAAGGCCGUUUCACCAAACACUUAAGAGUUAGUAUAAGCUGUGAUACUUCUCUCUGGACAGCUAUGGCUACCACUCAGUUAUGCAAGCUGUUCAGUUUGGAGGCGAGGUAAACACUUGGGUAGAUAGAUAGCUGCUUGCCGUAAAUGGGGUUUGUUGUUUGGUUGGUUUUGUUAAGGUGUAGGCUGACUAUGAGGGUGAAACAGUUAAUAGACCAAGGUUUAGAUCUAUGACAUGCAGUCCUUUUCUAGGAAACCUAUCGGGGUCCUGAAUUGGUUAAAAUGCUCUUUCUACAUAUUAAUAUAAUGCCCAUGCAUUGUAGCAUUUACUGUAAUAAUGGUGCUUACUACAUGCCAGGUACACAUUCCUGUACCUGUGCUCCUUCUGUUUCAGUGUUACAGGCAUUACAAGUCUUGUAACAGCCCUUGAGUAGGUGAUAUUAUUAAUUACCAUACUUACAGAUCAGAAAGCUACAUCACAGAAAGUUGAAGUAAUUACUCAAGUUCACAAAGUUAAUAAGUGAUAGAGCCAGGAUUCCUGAUGCUAGAACCCAUGUGCUGUAACCAUUCAUACCAAAUCCUCCCUGUUCACCCCCGUGCUAGAAAACACGGCUUACACAACUCAGCAGUGUUUGUGUUGCAGGGCUGCUGUGUGUGUGUGAUCCCACUCUCCCUUCCAUGAACACCAGAGACUCUUCUUUCCGAGUUGGAAGUCACAAAUCCUUGGGCACUCUGGAUAGCUGAUGCAUCUCUCUUCAUAGGCUACACCAGUUGUAUAACUGAAUUGUGUAACCAUGCUUCCCAUUCAUGUCCCUGCCCCGAAGCCCUGAGUAAAUUUGCUCACUUGGCAUUUGUAA